rnacentral:lncRNA from 1 species
CACAAGACAGGUGAAUGCCUUCAUCAUGACUGCCAGAGAGGGAGGAGGCCAACCUGGCACCACCAUGGAGGUCCUCAAAUCUACCACCCUGGCAGAGGCGAGCUGUGAGAUGGCCCUGGCUUUUGUGGGACCACCUUCUGAAGGUCAUCUGGAACUGGAUGAGAAGUGCUCAAGGAUAUAAGAUGAGAAACAGCCUUAAAAAGGUGAAGUAAUUUGACCAAGGUAUAGGCAAAACAGUGGAGCCAAUAUUUGAACACGAGUCUGUCUAAAGGUAAGCCCCUGGCUUUCACCCUUCACUCUUUUACCUCCCGUAUGUCCUAAAGCAUUGCCCCUUUAUUUCCUACAUGAGCUGAGCACCUGGAAUUUCAUACCUCAGUGCUACUUUAGCCCCUGGUAUUAUCACCAACACAGCAUCUACAAGAUAGUUCUAUGGACUUGUCACAGAGUUCUGCAAAACAAAUCUCUUUUGGUCAAUAAGUUUUAAACAUAAAGUUUUAAAUUAGAAAAAAUAAAUGUUUUGAGCCUCCACAGGGAUUCCAAUUGUUCCCUAAGGUUGUAUUGACUGCUCAAAGGAACCUGUUACAAUAUUUCCAAAAUAUCACAGAAGAGAUUACAAUAAAAAGCUACAGUAGUACUUACCAGCUUUUCUUGUUGACAGUGGCCGUAUAUGAAAAGCAGGUUCCCCUGAUCUGCCUGGGCAGUUUCAUCCCUGCAGAGCUGGGAUGAAUGACAAAUUCAAAACCUCUCUUUACACGUGGAUUUGAACAAGAAAUCUCCAGGAAGCAGGUUUGAAGAGAUGGGAUCCAGACACCUCCUAAGCCUCUUGUUUUCAAAUUUGUCUGCAUGUUGGAAUCACCUGGCCAUCUUUUUAAAACUGCUGAUGCCUGUAUGUGCCCCCUCCUCCCAAGAUUCUGAUUUCAUUGGCUCAGGGUGAAGCCUCAGCAUCAUAAUUUUUUUUUUUUAAUAGAGUCUUGCCCUGUUGCCCAGGCUGGAGUGCAGUGGUGCAAUCUCGGCUCACUGCAACCUCUGCCUCCCAGGUUCAGGCAAUUCUCAUGCCCCAGCCUCCUGAGUAGCUGGAAAUGCAGGUGCACACCACCACACCCAGCUAAUUUUUUGUAUUUUUAGUGGAGAUAGGGUUUCACCAUGUUGACCAGGCUGAUCUCGAACUCCUGAGCUCAGGCAAUCCACCUGCCUCAGACUCCCAAAGUGCUGAGAUUACAGGCGUAGCCACCACACCUGGCCAGCAUCAUGAGUUUUAAAGGCUUCCCAGGUGAGUCUGAUAUGUGGCAAAGUCUGAGAACCACCAACCUAGGCAAUCUAAUCAGAAAAGAUUUCCACAGAUGUACUGAUGAUAUUAACUAUUGGUACUUGGGGUACGUUUUAAUUAAGUUAUAGCUAGGAAUGAUAAUGGCUAAUGUGAAUCACUAUGAAAGAUAUUUUUUAAACAAAGACUAUAGACUGAAAAAUAAAAAGAUAUGCAAAUUAUGCAAAAGCAAACACAAAACAAUGUUAUAGUGUGUGUGUAUGUGUGCGUGUGCACAUGUGCACCUGACUGUAACUGCACACUAUAAGCACUCUGAGAUUGGGCUGGUUGUCAAUGAAGACUUCAGCAUUACAUGUAAGAGAAUAUAUUGAUGUGUUACUUUGUAAUUAUAAAUAAAGUAGAUUUUAUAAUUCAUUGUUUUGGGUUUGUUUCUAAAAGAGAUUAUUCCUUUUGGGCCAUAGCCUCCAGGUGGAGAAAGGAGACUGCACUAAGAAUGGGCCGAGUCAUCAGACAGCUGAAGAUAAUAUAGGAAAAUGGAAAUAAACAAGGAGUAACUUAAUUUUAUCCCAGACUUUGGCAUACGCCCAAAACAAGAAGUCAUUCUCUCUCCUAAAAGAAGGGGCACUAUUUGUACCUUUAGAGACUGUCUUGUUCUGAAUAAUUUUUCCCAUCUGUUUUGUGGGAGAGAUACAAGCUGAUUUUUCCCCCAACCAUCAUGGAGAUUUUAUUUUAAUUCAGGCACAAUUGAAGUGACUAAACAAAGUGCAGGAAAACUUCUUGAGGUUGCAAGAGUGAGCAAAAAUAUGGCAAAGGGACCUUAAUAUAUAUACAGGUAAGAUCAUAAAUUAUAAGGAAGUUUUCUAAAAUGAUUGCACAGAAUGAUGGGUUCUGGGAUAUUCGUUAUUGCCAAGAAAGAGUACCUUGAAGACAUUGUAGACUACAGAACUGGAAGUGGCCCAAAGAUGCAUAAGAAAAAUAAUAAUAAUAACAAAAGUCACUUAUUGAGUGGUUAUAAUAUUCCAGCUUACCAUUUUAAGCACCUUGCUUUAAUUAUUUUAUUUUAUCCUUAUAAGGCAAUAUACUAUGAUCAGCCUGAUUUUACAAAUGAAUAUGAGAUUAAAUAAUUUAUCCAAGGUCACAUGUCUCAUAAGAGACAGUGCGGUGCCCUAUCAAGGCACUUAACCUCUGGGCUAACCACUGCUCUUAGCAGUAAGGGUGAUGUUUCCCCAAGUAGACACUAGAAACAACAGGCAUGAUACCAGCAACAAUGGCAAAAAGAUUCCAUGGUCAGAUUUACAGGGUAAAACUCUUACUAAGGACAUGUCUGUAAUAUGCUAAUGUAAAUUAAGAAAAUAAAGGAGAUGGCGAUCACAUGAUUUGACUUUAGAGUUUUAUUUUUACAGAUGAAAGUGUGAAGUAUGCUGUGGAAAAUGCUGUUUCAGGUUGGUUUCCUUAUGGAGACGAUAAAAUGAAUUUUCUGGGAGGGGUAAUGAUUGAGAGGAUCUGGUGGUGAUGGACCUGCAUGACCCUAAAGAGACUCAGCUGGAGGGAGG